CCUACGGGAGGCAGCAGUGGGGAAUAUUGGGCAAUGGGCGCAACUCUGACCCAGCAAUGCCGCGUGAAUGAUGAAGGUAAUUUUAUUGUAAAGCUCUUUUCUUUGGGACGAAUAAAUUACGGUACCAAAGGAAUAAGCCCCGGCUAACUACGUGCCAGCAGUCGCGGUAAAACGUAUGGGGUAAGCGUUGUUCGGAAUGACAGGGCGUAAAGUGUGUGGAUGUGGUUGUAUAAGUUAGAUGUGUAAUACGCAGGGCUUAAAUCGGUGGCUGCAUCUAAAACUGUUAGACUUGAGUACUGGAGAGGAUAGUGGAAUGCCUAGUGUAGCGGUGGAAUGCGUAGAUAUUAGGAGGAACAUCAGUGGCGAAGGCGACUAUCUGGACAGCAACUGACACUGAGGCACGAAAGCGUGGGGAGCAAACAGGAUUAGAUACCCGGGUAGUC
rnacentral:rRNA from 1 species